UACGGAGGAUGCGAGCGUUAUCCGGAUUUAUUGGGUUUAAAGGGUGCGCAGGCGGAGGUGCAAGUCAGUGGACAAAUUGCGGGGCUCAACCCCGUACUGCCGUUGAAACUGCAUCCCUUGAGUGCGCGAGAAGUACGCGGAAUGCGCGGUGUAGCGGUGAAAUGCUUAGAUAUCGCGCAGAACCCCGAUUGCGAAGGCAGCGUACCGGCUCCACACUGACGCUGAGGCACGAAAGCGUGGGUAUCGAACAGG
rnacentral:rRNA from 1 species